UACGAAGGGGCUAGCGUUGCUCGGAAUUACUGGGCGUAAAGCGCACGUAGGCGGAUUGUUAAGUCGGGGUGAAAUCCUGGAGCUCAACUCCAGAACUGCCUCCGAAACUGGCGAUCUUGAGUUCGGGAGAGGUGAGUGGAACUGCGAGUGUAGAGGUGAAAUUCGUAGAUAUUCGCAAGAACACCAGUGGCGAAGGCGGACUCGACUGGCCC
rnacentral:rRNA from 1 species